rnacentral:lncRNA from 1 species
UACAAAAGCUAAGAACAUUGGAACAAACAUUGAAUUAUAGUGUUGGAGUGAGGGGAGUAAGACAAGCAUUGUUGUAGCAUUUAGUAGUGCUAGAGAGCCAUUGCAAGUUGAGGAUCUUAUAAGAAUAUUAGAUCAUAGCUAGAAGAGGAGAUCUUGAAAAUAUAAAUGGAGGCUGAAAAUGUAGGAAUGAGGGGAACGGAGAUGAGGGUGCAAUGAUUCUUCAUUCAAGAUGAAUCAAUUUAGUAAAAAUUUGGAUCUCUUUAUUAUUUUCUUAUAUAUAUAUAUAUAUAUAUAUGAAUUUUACAUUUAGCAAAAUGAAUUUUAAAAAUGUUUAUUUGAUUUUUUCAUGUAGUUUAUGAGCAAGCAAUGAAAAAUCCUAUAAAAGAUAGAUAAAUUGAUUAUAAUCUUAUUUUUAAUUUUUUGAUAAAAUUCUUUAAGAAUCUUCAAGAAUCUAGCAAAACAUGAUAUUAUUUUCUACCAAUUAUUUUAUAAAGAAGGAAGUGGAGCAAACA